rnacentral:rRNA from 1 species
GCAGUCGAGCGAGCGGAACUAACAGAUUUACUUCGGUAAUGACGUUAGGAAAGCGAGCGGCGGAUGGGUGAGUAACACGUGGGGAACCUGCCCCAUAGUCUGGGAUACCACUUGGAAACAGGUGCUAAUACCGGAUAAGAAAGCAGAUCGCAUGAUCAGCUUUUAAAAGGCGGCGUAAGCUGUCGCUAUGGGAUGGCCCCGCGGUGCAUUAGCUAGUUGGUAAGGUAAAGGCUUACCAAGGCGAUGAUGCAUAGCCGAGUUGAGAGACUGAUCGGCCACAUUGGGACUGAGACACGGCCCAAACUCCUACGGGAGGCAGCAGUAGGGAAUCUUCCACAAUGGACGCAAGUCUGAUGGAGCAACGCCGCGUGAGUGAAGAAGGUUUUCGGAUCGUAAAGCUCUGUUGUUGGUGAAGAAGGAUAGAGGUAGUAACUGGCCUUUAUUUGACGGUAAUCAACCAGAAAGUCACGGCUAACUACGUGCCAGCAGCCGCGGUAAUACGUAGGUGGCAAGCGUUGUCCGGAUUUAUUGGGCGUAAAGCGAGCGCAGGCGGAAGAAUAAGUCUGAUGUGAAAGCCCUCGGCUUAACCGAGGAACUGCAUCGGAAACUGUUUUUCUUGAGUGCAGAAGAGGAGAGUGGAACUCCAUGUGUAGCGGUGGAAUGCGUAGAUAUAUGGAAGA